rnacentral:ncRNA from 2 species
UUCCCUUUGUCAUCCUAUGC